rnacentral:rRNA from 1 species
UUUGUACACACCGCCCGUCGCUAUCUAAGAUGACGCACUGGACGAAGAUCGGAAGGUCUGAGUCCUGAGUGUUAGAUAAGAUAUAAGUCGUAACAUGGCUGCUGUUGGAGAACCAGCAGCAGGAUCAG